UAGGUGAAAUACACUGAUUACUCUUGAGGUUCCGAGUUAAUACACAGCACCCGUAGCGUCAAUCGUCCGUUAAUAAGAUUGACUGCCCAUCCAUAACGUAGCUGAAUAGUAGUUGAAAUAUCAUAUAUGUCAUUCUUUAUGACAAAAUUACUAUAUAUCUCACAAAAAUAUUAAUUGAAUGACUAAAAAGUGAAUUAAGUUGCCUGCUGGAUCAGUCUCUUAAUAAUUUCGAUGGUCUCGCUAUAUCUGUGCUAAUUAAGUUGCCUGCUAACUUCAACGAGUGCCAAUAGGAAACAUGUGAUAAAAUAUGUUAAUUGAAAGAGGGAUAAAAGUAGGAUCAAAUUUAUGUCCCCGUCUUUGUUAUUUUAGCGAGUGAUCAAAUAAAAUAGCUACAGUAGGUGAACAUGGUCUCUGACUGAGCCCAAUUUUAGUGUGCUAAAUUCCAGAGAACAAAAAAAAGUUAAAAUAGCUAACCAUUAAGCACAUGCACUUGUCUCCCAUGCAUAGUUAUCUUAAUCGGACCGGAUAUUAAAUCGGUUAAGGCUCCGAUUCAACGGUUUACUGGUUCAACCAUAGUUCAACCGGUCUUAUAAUUAAUAAAUAAUAAUAAAAUAUUUUUAUUAUAAAUAAUAAAAAUAAAAAACUUUUUUUUACUCCUUUAACUACUAUGUAGGUGUUUGAAAAUUGAUUAUUGAAAACAUAUUUAAAAGUAUCAAAGUAAUAAUUUUUAUGUACAUUUCACAUAAUUUAAUGUGGUUUCAAAUAUUUUUUUACACUUUUUAGAUUUUGAUUUAGAUUUUUUUGUUGACAAAUUGCUUAUAAUUUUAAUCAAACAUAAGUUGAGAGAUAUUCACUGAGGCAAUAUUCGAUUUUUUUUGAAGGAAAGGAUAGUGAAAUUAGAAAUAUAGGAAAAACAAAUGAAGUGAAAGAGGGUAAUUUUAUUUCUAAAUUUUAAGAAAAUUAGAAAGAAAAUACUAUAUAUGUCCAAAAAAGAAAUACGAUAUGCUUGUCAAAAAAUAAAAUAUUUUUGUAAACGGAGAAAAAAUAGUAUAGAAUAAUUUUAUUUUAAAUUAAUUUUUUUCUUUCCUUGACUAAUUUAAGAUUCUCCAAUGUAGCAUUAAAAAGAAACAAAAAAAAAAAAUCACUUGAAAAACAAUAAUGAAUUCCAUGAAGUGACUGCAGCCGCCAACCACGUGCACCUUGUCAAUGGUCUUUUUCUUUUGUGAAAACUUAUCUACCUCAGGGGUCCCACUUCUGUUCCACCAAAUCCAAUCUAAUAAAUUUGGAACUGUACCGUCCGUUUUUUUUUGGUUUUUCCUGAUAAAAAACAGCCGACUUGAUAAAAAAACAGUUCGGUUUUUUCGGUUCAAUACUAUUCGCUUGCAUUUUUGAUAAAAUAUGUAUAACGAACCAGUUAAAUAGCCGAUUUUCGAUUGAACUGAACGAAUCGAUCCGGUUCUAUAACUAUGCUCUCAUGUCCCCUUUCUCUCGCACGUUGUGAUUUUUUUUAAAAACUUUUGUCUUUCACCCCUGACACAACCACAUGCAUUUGUUGCUCUUCUCUCUCUCUCUUUCUCAAGUUGUGAUUAUUUUAAAAUUUUAUCAUCAACCCUGAUAUUGGCUAUGUUUGGUAUCAGUUUUUUUUUUAAUUUUUUUUUAAAUAAAUAAAAAAAUUAAUAAAAAUUAACUUUUUUACUUUUUUAUUUUAAAUUUUUUGCUUAGUUUUAACUAAAGAUGAAUCAAAAAAAUUAAAAAGUCACAAAAUUUUGACUUUUUUGGUAGAAAGCUUAAAAAAAUUUAAUUUUUAAACAUUACCAAACGGAGUUACUAGCACACGCAUUUUGCAGUUUUUUACGCAUUCUAUGUUAGGUGUACGUAUCUUUAGAAUAAAACGGUCUUUUUUAAAAUAAAAAAUAUCGAACAAGGCGAAUGAGGGUAAAUAUAGAAAACAAAAAGUUAAAAGUAACUAUUUGGGAGUUUUUAACGUCAGUAAGUACUGAGGCAUACAAUAUCGACUGUAUUAAUUAUACAACUUAAAUACAUAAAAUAAGAGAGAAAAAAAAUUUGAAGUCAUCCAAUCACAACUAAUUUGUAUUAUAUGUUUAUUUUAAAAUAUUUGUAUAAAGUAGUACCCCAUAUAGAUAUAAUUUAGAUUGUCUUAAAGUAAAUGGUUUUUAACCAUGUUGUUGUAUUAACAUAUAAAUAUGUAUAGAUACAUACAUAUAUAUAUACACACAUAGAAUUAGUGGAGCUUUUAAAAUUUUAUUUAGUUUCUCUUAUUAUUCUAGCUCGUAUUUAGAAUUUUCAAAUAAUUUAGUAUUUUUAUUAAAUUUAAAAUAUUAAAAUAUUAAAUACUUGCUCCCAAUCCCAACACUUCGAGGCUUACCGAUUGGUAGUGGUGGGGUACGGCGGAGAUGGCUAUGGGAGUUGGAGGUGGAGAGAGAGACACAAAUAUAUAAUUUUUUUAUUUGUUACUUUAUGCGUGAACGUGUUGGGGAUU
rnacentral:lncRNA from 1 species